UACGAAGGGGGCUAGCGUUGCUCGGAAUCACUGGGCGUAAAGCGCACGUAGGCGGCUUUCUAAGUCAGGGGUGAAAUCCUGGAGCUCAACUCCAGAACUGCCUUUGAUACUGGAGAGCUUGAGUCCGGAAGAGGUGAGUGGAACUCCGAGUGUAGAGGUGAAAUUCGUAGAUAUUCGGAAGAACACCAGUGGCGAAGGCAGCUCGCUGGGACGGUACUGACGCUGAGGCGCGAAAGCGUGGGGAGCGAACAGG
rnacentral:rRNA from 1 species